CCUACGGGAGGCAGCAGUGAGGAAUAUUGGUCAAUGGACGAAAGUCUGAACCAGCCAAGCCGCGUGCAGGAUGACGGCUCUCCGGGUUGUAAACUGCUUUUAGGUGGGAGUAAAAGGGGUCUCGUGAGCCUCGUAUUGUAUGUACCAACAGAAAAAGGACCGGCUAAUUCCGUGCAAGCAGCCGCGGUAAUACGGAAGGUCCGGGCGUUAUCAGGAUUUAUUGGGUUGAAAGGGAGUGUAGGCCGGCGUAUAUGUGAGGUGUGAAAGGUCGGGGCCCAACCGUGGAAUUGAAGUUGAUACUGGAGGACUAGAGGGCAGGCAGGGUAGCCGGAAUGCAUGGUGUAGCGGUGAAAUGCGUAGAUAUCAUGAAGAACACCGAUGGCGAAGGCGAGUGACCGGAGUGCAACUGACGUUGAGGCUCGAAAGUGCGGGUAGCAAACAGGAUUAGAUACCCUAGUAGUC
rnacentral:rRNA from 1 species